GAACGCUGGCGGCAGGCUUAACACAUGCAAGUCGAGCGGUAACAGAAAGUAGCUUGCUACUUUGCUGACGAGCGGCGGACGGGUGAGUAAUGCCUAGGAAUCUGCCUGGUAGUGGGGGAUAACUUGCCGAAAGGUAAGCUAAUACCGCAUACGUCCUACGGGAGAAAGCAGGGGACCUUCGGGCCUUGCGCUAUUAGAUGAGCCUAGGUCGGAUUAGUUAGUUGGUGAGGUAAUGGCUCACCAAGACUGCGAUCCGUAACUGGUCUGAGAGGAUGAUCAGUCACACUGGAACUGAGACACGGUCCAGACU
rnacentral:rRNA from 1 species